rnacentral:rRNA from 1 species
UACAGAGGGUGCAAGCGUUAAUCGGAAUUACUGGGCGUAAAGCGUGCGUAGACGGUUAUGUACGUCGGGUGUGAAAGCCCCGGGCUCAACCUGGGAAUUGCAUUCGAGACUGCAUAGCUAGGGUGCGGAAGAGGGAAGCGGAAUUUCCGGUGUAGCGGUGAAAUGCGUAGAUAUCGGAAGGAACACCAGUGGCGAAAGCGGCUUCCUGGUCCAGCACCGACGUUCAGGCACGAAAGCGUGGGGAGCAAACAGG